rnacentral:rRNA from 1 species
GACGAACGCUGGCGGCGUGCUUAACACAUGCAAGUCGAGCGGUAAGGCCCUUUCGGGGGUACGACGAGCGGCGAACGGGUGAGUAACACGUGGGUGACCUGCCCUCAGCUCUGGGAGUAAGCCUGGGAAACCGGGGUACUAAUACCGGAUAUGACUCCAUGACGCAUGUUGUGGGGUGGAAAGCCUUGUGCGGCUGAGGAUGGGCCCGCGGCCUAUCAGCUUGUUGGUGGGGUGAUGGCCUACCAAGGCGACGACGGGUAGCCGGCCUGAGAGGGCGACCGGCCACACUGGGACUGAGACACGGCCCAGACUCCUACGGGAGGCAGCAGUGGGGAAUCUUGCGCAAUGGGCGAAAGCCUGACGCGCGACGCCGCGUGAGGGAUGACGGCCUCGGUUGUAACGUACUUC